CAGCAGCCGCGGUAAUACGGAGGGCGCGAGCGUUACCCGGAUUUACUGGGCGUAAAGGGCGUGUAGGCGGCCUGGGGCGUCCCAUGUGAAAGGCCAUGGCUCAACCGUGGAGGAGCGUGGGAUACGCUCAGGCUAGAGGGUGGGAGAGGGUGGUGGAAUUCCCGGAGUAGCGGUGAAAUGCGCAGAUACCGGGAGGAACGCCGAUGGCGAAGGCAGCCACCUGGUCCACUUCUGACGCUGAGGCGCGAAAGCGUGGGGAGCAAACCGGAUUAGAUACCCCAGUAGUCCCUGUCUCUUAUAC
rnacentral:rRNA from 1 species